rnacentral:rRNA from 1 species
GGGGGGGGGGGGGGGGGGGGGGGGUGGGGGGAGGUCGAGGGGGGGGGCGGGGAGGUUGCUGCUGUGGUUGUGGCGGCGGGCGGGGGAGUAACCAGUGGAUAACCUACCUAUACGACUGUGAUAGCUGCGGGCAACCUGAGCUCAUACCUGAUAAUAUUUUGAACCGCCUGGUUCAAAAGUGAAAGACGUUCUUGCUGUCACUUAUAGAUGGAUCCGCGCUGCAUUAGCUAGUUGGUAAGGUAACGUCUUACCAAGGCAACGAUGCAUCGCCGACCUGAGAGGGUGAUCGGCCACACUGGAACUGAGACACGGUCCAGACUCCUCAGGGAGGCAGCAGUAGGGAAUCUUCCGCAAUGGGCGAAAGCCUGAAGGAGCAACGCCGCGUGAGUGAUGAAGGUCUUCGGAUCGUAAAACUCUGUUAUUAGGGAAGAACAUAUGUGUAAGUAACUGUGCACAUCUUGACGGUACCUAAUCAGAAAGACACGGCUAACUACGUG